rnacentral:rRNA from 1 species
GGGGAAUUUUGGACAAUGGGGGCAACCCUGAUCCAGCCAUCCCGCGUGUGCGAUGAAGGCCUUCGGGUUGUAAAGCACUUUUGGCAGGGAAGAAAAGCCACGGGAUAAUACCCUGUGGUGCUGACGGUACCUGUAGAAUAAGCACCGGCUAACUACGUGCCAGCAGCCGCGGUAAUACGUAGGGUGCAAGCGUUAAUCGGAAUUACUGGGCGUAAAGCGUGCGCAGGCGGUUUGGCAAGAAGGAUGUGAAAUCCCGGGGCUUAACCUCGGAACUGCAUUCUUAACUGCCAGGCUAGAGUAUGUCAGAGGGGGGUAGAAUUCCACGUGUAGCAGUGAAAUGCGUAGAGAUGUGGAGGAAUACCGAUGGCGAAGGCAGCCCCCUGGGAUAAUACUGACGCUCAUGCACGAAAGCGUGGGGAGCAAAC